ensembl:lncRNA
CCCCUUUUUGAACAGUUAAGGAAAGACACUUCAGGAAUAGAAUGCACACAGUCUGAAGCCCAUAUUCCAAACCGUUCAAAAACAUUUGUUUGGUGCAUAAGUUCAUAAAUGAUUGCAAUAAUUAACAGCUGAAUGAAUAUUGUUCUCCUUGAUGUACAUGGUAUGCCCUCUGGGGUAGAUUAUAUUAAUUGAUGACAAUUCUUCCUUCCUUCUCUGCCCAUGCCAGCAUUUACUAUAGGUAAAUUUUGAUAAAACUGUGAAAAUUCACAAACAUUUUUAUACAUACAUACGUUAUAUAAUACAUAUAUACAAGCAAUUUGUAUAUAUAUUAGCUGCAUUACAAUUUUGUUUUUUUUAUAUAGCCGGUUUACUGCCGAGUGUAUGGAGUCGGGGACAAUCUCCAGUGACGUUAAUCUGCGGGAGAAGGACUGGUCAGACUAUGAAGAAAAGGCUCAGGAGACUGUGAGAUUCUACGAACUGGCCCACUAGAGUGUGAAGCGCUAAGUCCUCUUCCUGUGUGCUUAUCUCUAAGAAUGGAGAACAGACAAAGGGCCCCAAGUAACACAGCUCACUGAGGCUAGUCUCCUCUCCGCCCGUCUCCUGGCAGCUGUACCAAGCCCUCAAAGUCUGCAUGCUGGGCUCUGUCGUAGCCUCCCAAACCUCGUCAAUAAAGCCCCUGUUCAUGCUCCACUGGUGCAUGAAAGUAAAGUCAGGUAGCAGCUCCUCCCUCCACUAAGAAUUUAUGGUGGUGGUCUGUGGCUGCUUCCUAGCACUUCUUCAUAGUUUAAAAUUCUGAGCCAAUUUGCAAAAUAUGCAAGAGCAUGCAGCUUCUAAGGGCUCUCUAGCUCUUGAGGAAGGGUCCAUCCAGAAGACCAAAGGUGUCAAGGCCAAUGGCAUAAAAAGCAGCUAAGCCUAUAGAAUGAUGUUGUGAGCCCAACACUUUAUUGACCAGCCUUGCUCUCACAUAAACCCAGGCAUCCCUGUUAGCCGGUAUCACUUCAGAUUCCAGGGCUAAAAGGGACUUUAGAGGUCAGCAGUCCAGUUCUGACACAAAUCUACUACACAGAAUUCCUGCCAGACAGUCAUCUGGUCUCUGUUCACUUGCUGUGAUGGGGCACAGUCUUCCUAUUAAGGGAGCCAGUAUGUAAGUUCUUUCACAUGCUAAGUCAGCCUCUAUGCUCCCCGUAGCUCCUCGCACUGGUCUUGGUUUGUCUCCACUCUUGCCACAUUUAUGUUAUUCUGUCCCCAGACAGCCCUGUGCAGAUGUGAAGGCAGCAGUCAAGGCUUCUAAGUCUCAUGGGCCUGGGCCUGGGUCUGAAGAUUCCCCAGACAGUGUCAAGGUUGUUCAGCUGGGUCAUGAGCAGAUGCUUAUGCCUUUACACCGGUGAAUUAGUCAUUUGGAAAACUUGUUACCAGGGUCCUUAUUUCUCAAUAUCUUGCUGGAGCCUGGAACUCUUUGGAAAUAAAAAAUAGCAUCUUCAAAAACUAAAAGCACAAAUAAGGAAAAGGGGAUCAGAAGUAUUGUGUGGGAUAAUGGAAUUUUAGAUAGGCCAGAGAAGGCCUCACUGGGGCCACUUUUGACUACAAACCUAAUGUUAGUGAAGGAGCUCACCAUGUGUAUAUCUGAGGGAAGAGUAUUCUAGGCAGCAGAAACAGAAAAUGCAAAGACCCUCAGGCAGAAAUAUGGCUAGUAGAGGAACAACGAGGUCAGCAUGGCUGGAGUAGAGUGGACAAAAUGGCAGGAAGAUGAUGAUGAGUUUUUAGAGGUAACUGGGUCAGAUCAUGAAAUGUCAAGGACACCAGUUUUUCCUCUGAGAUAAGAGUCAUUGGAGAUUUUGAGAAGAGGAGGGCCAAGACCUGACUUAUGUCUGAUCACUUUGGCUGUGUGUUGUGAACACUAAAGGACAAGAGCAGAAGCCCAGUGACAAUUGGGAAGCUAUUCUAGAAAUCCAUAUGACAAAACUGAGGUAUGGAGAUGUUCAGUAACUUGCCAAUGACCUCAUGAGUAAAGAGAGACAAAGCCAGCCCUGAAACAAGAGCUUCAAGCUCUGAAGUCCAUGCUGUUUUCCCUCACGAGGAAGCUCAGCAUUCUUCCACUGAAAGAAGGUAAUUAAAUGAAUGUAACAUUGGAUGCGGUCAACACUGCAGGUAACACAGGAGCAGUGGAAAGCUGUUUGUGAGAAGUGGGCAGCUAUACUGUCCUUGCUGUCUGUCACACUCUAAAGCAUGCCUGCAGCCCAGGAGGCAGGUCCACAAAAUAAAAAAUUAAAAAAAUUCCUCUCACUGAAUUCAAAGGAAUCCCUUUUAUAAUCCAGGGAGUUCACAGAAAAUGGUACUAUGUUAAGAUAUUUUUGUAUCACAUAAUUUCUCUUUGAUAUCUGGAAAAAAAGUCCUUGUAUCCAUAUCAAC